rnacentral:tRNA from 1 species
GCAGUGAUGGUUCAGUAGGAGAAUUCUCACCUUCCAUGCGGGAGACCUAGGUUCGACGCCCAGCCAAUGCA